AUAAAGGCCAAUAAGUGCCAAUUUGACUGACUAUCUUACAACACUGACUUAUCAUUUUGAUUUUAUAAUACGUUCCAAUUCAUAUUAUAUAUUUUCAUUCUUAUUGUUUAUCCAAAGUUUCCUGGCACAUAUGGGCUUCCAUAUUCAGUGGGACAACCUGAAAACUGGUUUUUCUUUUCACCCCAACAAAAACAAAGGCUGCCAGACAAGAAUACACACCCUGUCUCUGCACGUGGGAAGCUCACAGCUCUUUGACACAGCAAGUAUAGAAACAGAGGAGAAAAUUACCUGCUGUUUUCUCUGUAAUGUCAGAUCUGAUCUUAUUAUUAUGGGUCAGUCAGAUCUGUAUAUUAAUAUGACGCAACGUAGAAGAGUUUGUUCAGAAAUAAUUUGAGACUUUGCAGUCUAACCUCUCAGUUUAGGAGGUUUUCUAUUUCAAGACCAUAAUUUGCUGUGAGUAAGAAACCCGGAAAUAGUGAGACGUGUGAUGGAGGGGCUGGACUCAUGUGUGAAUGUGUGUGUGUGCGUGUUUAGAAAGAGCGAGAGAGAGUCGGCGAGCUUGAGAAGUCUUCAUCCGACACAUAAAACCUGCCAUCUGAUUUAUUUAACUCCUGUGGGAAUAUUGAUCCGUAUUGAUCAAUAAGGUCACUUCGUUUCUGUGGAAACUUAUUCUGCAGCAUCAUCCUCACGGAGACGCGGGCUACCUCUUUUAUUUGAGGGAUAAGAUGAUAAUAACGCAACUAAAAACUACGACGUUCAUUCAUAAGUGGUGACAGCUCGUCUUAAAACACGGAUGUAUGCGACACACCAGGCGGAGAGAGAAAGAAAGCCGAGCAGGACGAUCUUUGGGAGGAAUUAAACUUGUUUAACACGAACAAUGAUCCGGGUUUCCGAUGUAAGGCGCUGAAACCAACGACAUUUAAUUUUGUUUGCAGUGAGGGCUCAGAUUUGAACAAAUCUUCGCAACCAAACGCAGGGAUGACAGUGAAGCUUGACUUUGAGGAGAGUUUGAAGGACUCUCCACGCUUCAGAGCUGCCAUUGAAGUCGUCCAAAAUGAUGUGAGUGAGCUUGAGACUCGAUUGGACAAGCUUGUGAAACAAUGCCAGGCCAUGCUGGAUGCAGGCAGAGUCUACUGUCAGACCAGUAAGAGCUUUGUCAAUGGCCUCCGAGAGCUGGGUCACCAGUGCUCCAGGGACAAGAUGAUGGAGGGUUGCUUGGACAGAUUUUCUAAAAAACUGUCUGUCAUCUUGGAAGCACAGGGGGAAGUGAUUGAGAUCACACAGAAGUCCGUCAAGACAAAGCUGCAGAACUUCGUGAAGGAAGAUGUUCGUCGGUUCAAGGAUGUGCGUAAAGAGUUUGAGCGCAGCAGCGAAACCCUGGAAGGGGCUCUGGCCAGGAAUGCUCAGGCUCCACGGGGGAAACUGCACGAAGUAGAAGAGGCAAGCAAUGCUCUGCUUAAUGCACGCAAGGCCUUUCGAUCUGAGGCCUUGGACUAUGUUCUAGAGAUUAACGUCAUUGAGGCCAAGAAGAAGACAGACAUUCUGAUGGCAAUGUUGUCGCUGAUGGAGGCCCAAUCACAGUUCUUCCAACAAGGCCACCAGUCUCUAUCGGAGUUAGAGGAAUAUCGACAAAACCUCAAUAAAGAGCACACACAGUUUGUCCUAGAUGCUGCCAGAGAGAAGAGGGACAUGGAGCAAAAACAUGCAGAGAUCAAGAAAAAGGACAUGUCCUUCGAUGACUCCAUUAUGGAUUUUAAUGCUGAUGCAGCUAAUGGGAUUGCAAUGGAGGGUUACCUCUAUAAAAGGGCCAGCAACGCUUUCAAGACCUGGAGCAGACGUUGGUUUUCAAUACAGAAAAAUCAGCUGGUGUAUCAGAAGAAGUUCAAGGACCUGCCCACAGUUGUGGUGGAGGACUUGCGUCUCUGCACAGUCAAGCCCAGCUCUGAAAAUGAGAGGCGAUUUCUCUUUGAAGUGGUGUCCCCAUCUAAGUGCUGUUUGUUGCAAGCGGACUCAGAACGGCAGCAGCAAGCAUGGAUCAGUGCUGUCCAGAACAGCAUCGCUUCAGCCUUUCAGGAGCACAGAGAGGAUGCACAUAGCCCUAGGCAACGCUGCAGCUCUGUGUCAGCCAACAGUAUACUGGGAGGAGGGGUCGGAGGAGCCACAGAUCAAGAAAAUAAGGUUUGCAAGGCACUGGAGGAGGUUCAGGCAAUCCCAGGGAACCGGCAGUGCUGCGAUUGUGGAGAGCCCGGUCCUGAUUGGGCCUCAAUCAACCUGGGCAUCACACUGUGCAUCGUCUGCUCUGGAAUACACAGGAGCCUGGGAGUUCAUUUCUCCAAAGUACGCUCCCUCACUCUUGACUCCUGGGAGCCAGAGCUCAUUAAGCUGAUGUGUGAGCUGGGAAACACAGUAAUCAAUAGGAUCUACGAGGCUCGGAUUGAUGAGAUCACCAUUAAGAAGCCCCACCCCUCCAGUCCCAGAGGAGACAAGGAGUCAUGGAUUCGAUCGAAAUACGUUGAAAAGAAAUUCAUCCAAAAACUGCCAGAAGCCGGCAGGAACCCUCCGCUGAGGCGAUCCAGUGCCAAGAGAAACAGAGCGACCACACAGGAUCGAACCACAGAGCGACCGGCGAUCAAACCUAAACCAAACCGAGCCACGCUGCCUCGUGUCACAGGGUUAAGCCCCAAAGAUAUUGUCCAAAUAAACAAUACAGGCUUUCACAAAGAUGUGGAGGAGGAAGAGGAGGAUCUUAGCGGUCUUCAUCCUGGGGCCCUACUGUAUCGCUCCGCAGCUCUGCAGAAUUUCCCCGUCAUGGCCGACGCUCUGGCCCACGGAGCUGAUGUCAACUGGGUCAACUUGGCCGAAGACUCGAGCACACCCCUGAUACAAGCUGUCUCUGUGAACGCCCUGGCAGCCUGCGAGUUCCUGCUGCAGAACGGCGCCAACGUCAACCAGGCAGACAGCAACGGGAGAAGGCCACUGCACCAUGCCACCAUUCUCGGUCACACAGGGUUGGUUUGUCUCUUCUUGAAGCGAGGCGCUGACUACAACGCCCUUGACAAGAACCAAAAAGACCCCAUAACCAUUGCCGUGGAGAAUGCAAAUGCUGACAUCGUCACUUUGUUGCGGAUUGCCAAAAUGAAUAAAGAGAUGCGGGAGAUGGACGGAGCGUUCGGCCAAUCAGGUCAUUCAGAGGGGCAGGGAUCUGGGGGGUCACUGAGUGGGACAGGAGUUGGGCUGGCCAACACCAGAAAGAGUCUGCAGGCUAUAAAGAACCAUAUAAGUGGUUGGGCUUUGGGGGGGUUACAUGACUAGCAGGACUAAGAUAACAUCUCAAGACAAGGACCACCAGUUAUCAGAUAAAAAAAGAAGAAAAAGAAUCCAGUUCUUGUUAAUCAAGAAGUUAGAACACCGGGUAUGAUGAGUUUAGAGGCUGGAACGCAGGCGAAACAAACUUAUUGAUGGCUGAUAAAAAAAUAACCCUUCAACAAAGAAAGUCAACAUGCACUUUGUGCUGUACAGGCACAGCAUCCUGCACUUUGAAACCUACAAGCUACUCAAAUACAAUGUCACUAGAGGUCAACAUGUGAGUGCUGUCAAUCUGUUAUUGGGCUUUGUCAGGCCUGUUUAUAGUAUAUUUUGGAUAUUUUUAUAUCCAGUGUGCACACUGCUUUGACACGAUCAGAUGUUAUAUAUCUUUUUAUGUAGCAGGUUGUCAUUCCAGUUUUGUAAGCUAAACUUAGUGGCUUUUGUUCAACCACUAUUCUGUGAAUAGUGAGCCAGUUUGAGCUUUCUCAUUCUUCUAUAUGAUGUGUUUUUAUUUAUAAGAAUUUCAUACCAGGUCCUAAAGAUCUGUAGUCGUCAAUCUUAAGGUCAACAGUGGGUUUUGUAUUAUUUUUUCAUUUGGCUUUGUUCUUUUUUAAGCUGCAGAGUCCAUUCUUUCAUGAUUGAUCUGGGUGUUGUUAACUCUCUUUGACUCUAGUAUCUGAUGGGAGCUUUUUCAGUCAUGAAGGAAUGGAAGCAUGGUGUGUUUGUCUGCUUGAAAAAAACUGCUGGUCAGUAUUUGACAUGCUGUGCUUUUUCAUUGUUUGUCUUUGUUGUGUGCACUCGUGUGCCUUUGCCCUUUGCCCACUGAGAUGUCCAUCUGGCUUCAACUGCUUGUGCAGUGUGCCACCUACAGCAAAUUAAGAGGUGACGAAACCUACCAUGACAUUUUCAGAGACUUUUCACAUAUGGCUUCAAACAACCCAGAGAAGCUCAAACGCCGCAGUGCAGAUCCCAAAAGUUAACCAGCUGCUGCCUCCACCCCAUCUGCACCCAUCUGUGCACAUUUUACCACUUCAGCCUCAUGUAUUAUUACACACAUACAGAAAAUAUUCAGCUCUCAGGCAUGCAAGCACACACAUUUCCCCCCUGGCUACUUGCCACGUGUUCAGUCGCAGCUCAGCUGGUGCUGACUUCAGAGGGGAUAAACGCUCCAAACAGUGAAUUCUUUGUGUGGGAACGUCAGCGCAGAACAAUUGUGUCCAAGUGGAAACGCUGGAACCACUUUAUGAGUACAGCAUGAGGUGUCUUAAUGUCUCAGGGGGAAACACCAUCACUCUGCCAACAGUUGCUAAUUAAAACCAGUGAACCUGUUUUUUUCUUUUUAACUGAAAAAGGUUUCAUGUUCUGCUUUUUUCUGACAUUUUACAUGAAAAUACAGCAAAGAAAUUUGUUGCAAUUUGAUGCAAAAAGCUCCAAUAUCUUAUCAAAAUGCAAUGUUUUGGGAUUUUGAGAUGACAAUGUUUAUGUAUAUUUUAUCUACAAUUUGAAAGGUACUUAAAGCUUGAGUUAAGAUCAAAUAAACCACAGAACAAACUUA